rnacentral:tRNA from 1 species
GCCUGGGUAGCUCAGUCAGUUGGGUGUCUGACUUCGGCUCAGAUCAUGAUCUCACAGUCCGUGGGUUCGAGCCCCGCAUCGGGCU